rnacentral:rRNA from 1 species
UACGAAGGGGGCUAGCGUUGUUCGGAAUUACUGGGCGUAAAGCGUACGUAGGCGGAUUGUUAAGUGAGGGGUGAAAUCCCGGAGGCUCAACCUCGGAACUGCCUUUCAUACUGGCAAUCUUGAGGUCCGGGGAGAGGUGAGUGGAACUCCUAGUGUAGAGGUGAAAUUCGUAGAUAUUAGGAAGAACACCAGUGGCGAAGGCGGCUCACUGGCCCGGAACUGACGCUGAGGUACGAAAGCGUGGGGAGCAAACAGG